GGGCGUGGCUUCCUGCAUUUGGCGGGGUCUUUGUCUCUCGCUGGCGCUGGCACAGGAGCUUGGGAUCCGUCUCCUCUUUCGCCUCCUCCACCUUGGGAGCCCCGGGCUACUCUCUCACAGCCCUUGUUGCCCUGUGAUCUGAAGGUCCUUGGGGACGCAUAGUUAAGGUGCCAGGACAUCCUGGAAGCUGGGAAAUGAUUGUUGCAGUGUCAGGACCAAGGUCAAAUGAGUUAUAGCCAAGUCUACAGUAAGAUGUGGCAGUAUUCUGUUUUGAAGCCGGGACCAUGAUUGGGCGGGGAGACCUUCCUUCCCCACGGGUUUGAGGCUAUGGCUAAGUGGUGAGCCUUGGGGAGAUGCAGAAAGGAUCCAUCCCAGGCACUUGGCUAGAGCUUUUGCUUAUGCAGAAGAAGAAUUGGAUGAAACUCAGCAUUCAUUAUGAUGAAAACUCUCAACAAGUUAGGAAUAGAAGGGUCUUUCUCUGUCGUCCAGGCUGGAGGGCAGUGGCACAAUCUCUGCUUAUUGCAAGCUCUGCCUCUCAGGCUCAACUCAAACAAUCCUCCCACCACAGCCUUCUGAGUACCUGGGACCACAGAUGUGCACCACUACUCCUGGCUAAUAUUUGUUAUUUUUCAUAGAGACAGGGUUUUGCCAUGUUGCCCAGACUAGUCUCAAAAUCCUAAAUACUAUAGGUAUUUUCUUUGUUGUUACUAUAAAUAUUACCAAAAAUAACUACUAUAGCUAGCAUGUAAAACUCUGCCUCUUUAUGGCUCCGUAUGUGUUUUAUUGAUGUUGCGAAUUACAUCAUUUUGUAUUGUGAAUCUAUUGGCAAAGUUAUAUAGUCAUUUUUAAGUCUUUGUUAUCUCAAAUACAUAACAGAAUUAAAAGUAUUCUGUGCAUCUUCAUUAUAAUAACAAAGAAUAUUGUAAUUGUGCACAUAAUUAUCUAUUAGAAAACGUUAUAUUUUACAUAAUUCUGUGUUGCUCUCAUCAUUAUUUUAUUUUUCAAUGUGAAUGACAAGCAUUUUUUAAGACAGGCCUAGUGUGUAUAAAUUUAUACAGUUUCUGUUGAUCUUGAAUAUUCUUUAUUUUUAUUUUUUAAUUCAUUUGAAAUGAUAGUUUCGGCAGACUUAGUGUUCUUGGUUGGUACUUAACAUUUUUUCAGCACUUUGAAUAUGUCAUCCUACAACCUCUUGCCUGUAUGCUUUUUGCUGAGACACCUGCAGGUCAUCCUAUAGGGGUAACAUUGUACAUGCUAAGCCACUUUUUUCUUGCUGACUUCAAGAUUCUCGGUGUUUUAACUUUUGAAUCUCUGAUUAUAAUGUGUCUUGUCAUGGGUCUCCCUGUGUUGCUACUAGUUAGAGUUGGUAAAGUUUCAUUAAAUUUUAGGCCAUUUUCUCCCUCAAAUUUUGAGAGUUCUCAGACACUGUUUGUUUCUUGAAAUAACUUUGCUGCUCUCUUUUCUCUCUUUUAAUUUUAGAAUUCCCAUUAUAAGUAUAUUGGCUAUCUUAAUGGUAUCCCAUAAGUCCCUUAGGCUCUCUUAAUUUUUUAAAUUAUUUUUAGCCUCCUCACCCUAUAAUUUCAAAUGACUUCUUAUCAAUCUUGUUGGAUUUUUUUCCUGCUAGAUCAAACCUGUUGUUGGACUUUCUAGUGACUCUCUAAAUUCAGGUAUUUUACUUUUCAGCUCCACACUUUAUGUUUCUAUUUUGUACUUUUAAUCACUUCGUUGAUUGUCUCAUUAUCUUCAUGCGUUGUUUUCUUUUUCUGUUUAGUUUUCUAUGUUCUUCUUUAGCUGACUGAGCAUCCUUAAGCUAGGUGUUUUAGCUAGGCACAAUGACAUGUGUGUCUAAUUCCAGCUACUUUGAAAGCUAAGGCAAGAGGAUUUCUGUAUUAAUAAAUUCUCAUGCAGCUAAUAAAGACAUAACCAAGACUAGAUAAUUCAUAAUGAAAAAGGUUAAUGACCUCACAGUUUCACAUGGCUGGGGAGGUCUCACAAUUAUUGGAGCAAGCAAGAGACUUUGUUCAGGGAAAUCUCCACUUAUAAAACCAUCAGAUCACAUGAGACUUAUUUGCUAUCAUGAGAACAUCACAGGAAAAUCCCACCCCCAUGAUUCAAUUACCUCCCACAGGGUCCCUCCCAGGACAUGUGGAGAUUAUUACAAUUCAAGGUGAGAUUUGGUUGGGGACACAGAGCCAAACAAUAUCAAUUACUUAAGGCCAGGAGUUUGAGACCAACCUGGGCAAUAUUGUGAGAAGCUAUAUGUAAAAAAUAUUUUUACAGAUUAGUCAUGCAUGGUGGAAUGUUCCUGUAGUCUCAGGAAGUUGGAGGCUGAUGUAAGAUUAUUCCUUGAGCUCCCAGGAAUUUGAGGCUGCAUUGAGCUAUAACCAUGGUACUGUAUUCCUGUCUGGGUGAGAGAGUAAGACCUCUUUUUAGAAUUUCAAAUUUGUUUUAGAUUUAGGAGGUACCUACACAGGUUUUUUACAUGGGUAUUUUGUAUAAUGCUGAGGUUUGAAGUAUAAGUAAUUCCAUCACUUAUGCAGCGAGCAUAAUACUAAAUAGACAGUUUUUCAGUUCUUGUUCCCUCCCUCUCUCCACCCUCUAAGAGUUGUCUAUUAUUUUUAUUUUUAUGUCCGUGUGUACCCAGUGUUAAUUUCCAUUUAUAAGUGAGAACAUGCAGUAUUUUCGUUUUGCAUUUCUGCAUUAAUUUGCUUUGUAGAAUGACCUUUAGUUGCAUUAAUGUUGCUGCAAAUGACAAGUUUUUUUUUUUUUUUUGCUAAGUAGUAUUUCUGUACAAGUGACACUUUUUAAAUUCAAUUUACCAUUAAUAGGCUGGACACGGUGGCUGAUGCCUGUAAUCCUAGCACUGUGGGAGGCCAAGGUGAGUGGAUCAUGAGGUCAGGAGAUCGAGACCAUCCUGGACAGCAUAAUGAAACCCGGUCUCUACUGAAAAUACAAAAGUUAGCCGGGCGUGGUGGCAUGUGCCUAUAGUCCCAGCUACUCCGGUGGCUGAGGCAGAAUAAUUCCUUGAACCUGGGAGGUGGAGGUUGUAGUGAGCUGAGAUCAUGCCACUGCACUCCAGCCUGGGAAACAGAGUGAGACUUCAUCUAAAAAAAAAAAAAAAAAAAAUUACCAUUAAUAGGCACCUAGGUUGAUUUAUGACUUUCCUAUUAUAAAUAAUGCAGCGAUGAACCAACAAGUGCAUGUGCUAUAUUGGUAGAAUAAUUUAUUGUCUUUCUGGUAUAUACACAGUGGAGAAAUUGCUGGGUUGAAUCAUAGUUCAAUUCUCAGUUAUUUGGAAAAUCUCCAAGCUGCUCUCCACAGUGGCUGAACUAAUUUAUAUUCCUAUUAACACUGUAUCAGUGGUUUUUUUCCCUCUAAAAUCUCAUCAACAACUACUAUCAUUUUACUUUUUAACAAAAGCCAUUCUAACUGUUGUAUGAUGGUGUCUUAUUGUGGUUUUUAUUUACAUUUCCUUGAUGGUUAGUGAUGAUAAUAUUUUUUCACGUUAUUUGGCUACUUGUAUGUAUUCUUUUGAACAGUGUCUGUUAUUGUCCACUUUUUCAUGGGGUAAUUUUUUGCUUGUGAAUUCUUUAAGUUUCUUAUAGAUUCUGAGUAUUAGAUUUUGUCAGGUUCAUUGGUUGUGAAAAUUUUUCCCAUUCUGCUAGCUUUGGGGUUAGUUUGUUUUUAUUUUUCUAGUUUCUCUAAGUGUGAUGUUAAAUUGUUAGUUUGAGAUCUUUCCAACUUCUUGAUGCAGGUAUUUAGCACUCUCAACUUUCCUCUUAACAGUGCUUUCCCUACAACCCAGACAUUUUGGUAAAUUGUGUCUCUUAAUUUAUUUCAAAAUUUUUUUAAAGUUUCUGCCUUAAUUUUGUUAUUUACCCAAAAUUCACUCAGGAGCAAGUUGUUUAAUUUCAAUGUCAUUCUGUGAUUUUGUGAGAUUUUCUUGGUAUUGAUUUUUAUCUUUGUUCCAUUGUGGCCUGACAGUAUGGUUGGCAUAAUUUUCAUUUUUAAAAAAUGUAUGGAUAAUUGCUUUAUGGCUAGGAAGUGGUCAAUCCUAGAGUAUAUUCUGUGAGUGAUGAGAAGAAUUUAUGUUCCUUAGAUGAUGUGUGGCUUAGCUAUAAGUGUCUAUUAGUUUCAAUUGAUCAAGCCUGAAAUCAAACUCCAGAAUUUCUUUGUUAAGUUUCUGCCUAGAUAAUCUGACAAACACUGUUAGUGGGGAGUUGCAUUCUCCUACUAUUAUUGUGUGGCUACUUGAGUCUUAUUGUAGGUCUAGCAGUACUUGUAUAACUCUAUGUUCCCCAAAGUUGGGUGCAUCUACAUUUAGGAUAGUUAAGUCUUCUUGUUGAAUUGAACCCUUUAUCAUUAUGCAAUGCCUUUCUUUGUUUUAUUUUACUAUUAAUGAUUUAAAGUCCUUUUUUCUUAAAAGAGAAACAAUUCCAGGUAUGGUGGCUCAUCCCAGCACUUUCAGACUGAGGCAGUAGGAUUGCCUGAGACCAGGAGUUUGAGACCAACUGAGGCAACAUAACAACAUUCUGUUUGUACAAAUUUUUUUAAAGAAACUACACAGGUGUGGUAGUGUGCAGAACUGUGGUCAUAUUUACUCAGGAGACAUAGGCGGCAUGACUGCUUGACUUCAGAAAUUUGUGGUUACAGUGAGCUGUGAUUGCACCACUUCACUCUGUCCCAGGAUAUAGAGUAAGAUCCUGUGUAUAAAAUGAAAAAAUAAAGAAAAAUAAAAUUAUUUUAAGUUAAAAAUAAAUUCAUAGAUCUCCACUUCUUUUGGUUCUCUUGAAUAUAUAUUUUUCUCAUUAGAUUAGGCUAUAUUUCCUGGUUGCUUUUACAUACUGUGGUUUUGUUAAGGUUUUGGUCAAUUAAGAAACCACUACCUAUUUUAUCCUUUAUGAAAUAGCUUUGUACAUGGGAAAAUUGACAACAUUCUGCCACACUAGUCAUUCUGGGAGCUUCUCCAAUCUGUUGUCAAAAUGUGUCUUCGUUGGACUAGUGUAUGUAUUUUCGUGUUAAUAAGGUUUACCUCUGUUUCCUUUUAGGAGCCUUUAGCCUCUUCCCUUUGUCACUGUUACAGGCACUACCAUCUCUGUUGUUGUAAGAAAUAUUUAUCUUUAUUCUCAGUUGACCCAAGCUGUCAUUUAAACUCUAUCUCUAUUCUGGUCAACAUUAAAUGUUAAAGGAAGCAAUAUCCAGUCUUUGGAGAACCCCGGUAUGACUCAAUAAGUCAGAAGUUUGCAUACACAUUUCACCCUUUUUUCUUUCCCGAGGGAGAAUCAUAGAAUGGACAGAUUUUUAUCUAACUGCACUGUUCUGUAGUGCACAAAUGUAACCAAAUUUUCUUUCUUCUAAAUGUGGUUAUGGUUGGCUUUUUUCUGAUGUGGGGUGCUACAAACUCAACUGGCUUUGCUCGCCCAAUUGUAGUUAAGUUCAUACAUCCAUUGAGAGAAACAGGAUCUCAGGUUCUGCUUCAACUGUCAUUGUGUUCUCAGCUGGCCUCAUUUUGUACAUUCGAUUUAUAAAAUAUAUUUUCCUUAAUCUCAUAACCGAAUUUUUUAAAAAAUUAAUAUUUUUCAGCUCUUUUAGCAUUAUAUCCAACCAAGACCCAGAGAAAACAGUACAUAGAAGCUUCUUUUCAAAAAGUACUAUUGGGAAGAUCUGGGAGCCCUGGCCUUGAAAAUUUACACGUAAGGAAAGUGGGAAAUUGAAGGAUAAGUGUAAAGGGCACAAAGGAUGUUAUGAUGAAUAUACCAGAUAUACAGCAAUUACCUACAGCAAAAAUGUCACUGCUAGAAGAGCUCAAAACCAUAAAGUAUUUUGGAAAAAGCAUAAUUAAUGUUGAUUCUUUUUUCUGAACUAUAUAUUUGUAUAAUUACAUAUCAAUAACGAUUUUUGAAACAUAUCAUGUUUUUGAAACAAAAUUUAGAAAAUGUAAAUAGUGGCCUAGACCGGGAAUAUUUCUCCUAAUGCUAUCCCUCCCAUAGUCCCCCACUUCCUGACAGGCUCCAGUGUGUGGUGUUCCCCUUCCUGUGUCCAUGUGUUCUCUUUGUUUAACUCCCAACUAUGAGAGAGAACAUGUGAUGUUUGCUUUUCUACUCUUGUGUUAGUUUGCUGAGAAUGGUGGUUUCCAGCUUCAUCCAUGUCCCUGCAAAGGACAUGAACUCAUCCUUUUUAUGACUGCAUCAUAUUCCAUGAUGUGUACAUGCCACAUUUUCUUUAUUCAGUCUAUCACUGGUGGGCAUUUGGUGUAGUUCAAAGUUUUUGCUCUUGUGAACAGUGCCAUAAUAAACAUAUGUGUGCAUGUGUCCUUAUAGUAGAAUAAUUUAUAAUCCUUUGGGUAUAUACCCAGUAAUGGGAUCGCAGGGUCAAAUGGUAUUUCUCAUUGUAGAUCCUUGAGGAAUUGCCAUACUGUCUUCCACAAUGGUGGAACUAAUUUACACUCUCACCAACAGUGUAAAAGUGUUCCUAUUUCUCCACAUCCUCUCCAGCAUCUGUUGUUUCCUGAUUUUUUUAAUGAUCACCAUUCUAACUGGUGUGAGAUGGUUUCUCAUUGUGUUUUUGAUUUGCACUUUUCUAAUGACCAGUGAUGAUGAGCUUUUUUUCAUGUUUGUUGGCUGCAUAAAUGUCUUCUUUUGAGAAGUGUCUCUUCACGUCCUUUGCCCAUUUUUGAUGUGGCUGUUUGGUUUUCUCUUGUAAAUUUGCUUAUGUUUUUUGCAGAUUCUGCAUGGUAGCCCAUUGUCAGAUGGAUAGAUUGCAGAAAUGUUCUCCCAUUCUGUAGGUUGCCUGUUCACUCUGAUGAUAGUUUCUUUUGUUGUGAAGAAGCUCUUUAGUUUUAUUAUAUCUCAUUUGUCAAUUUUGGCUUUUGUUGCCAUUGUUUUUGGUGUUUUAGUCAUGAAGUCUUUGCCCACGCCUAUGUCCUGAAUGGUACUGCCUUGGUUUUCUUCGGGGUUUUUAUGGUUUUAAGUCUUACAUUUAAGUCUUUAAUCCAUCUUCAGUUAAUUUUUGUAUAACUAGUAAGGGAGAUGUCCAGUUUCAUUUUUUUUUCAUAUGGCUAUCUAGUUUUCCCAACACCAUUUAUUGAAUAAGGAAUCCUUUCCCGAUUACUUGGUUUCCUCAAGUUCUUCAAAGAUCAGGUGGUUGUAGAUGUUUGAUGUUAUUUCUGGGGCCUCUGUUCUGUUCCAUUUGUCAAUAUAUCUUUUUUGGUACCAGUACCAUUCUGUCUUGGUUAAUGUGGCCUUUUAGUAUAGUUUGAAGACAGCUAGCGUGAUGCCUUCACUUUUGUUCUUUUUGCUUAGGAUUGUCUUGUCUAUGCAUGAUCUUUUUUGAUUCCAUAUGACAUUUAAAGUAGUUUUUUUAAUCAUUCUGUAAAGAAAGUCAACGGGAGCUUGAUGGGGAUAGCACUGAAUUUAUAAAUUACUUUGGGCAGUAUGGCCGUUUUCACAAUAUUGAUUCUUCCUAUCCAUGAGCACUUAUUGUUUUCCAUUUGUUUGUGUCCUCUUUUAUUUCCUUGGGCAGUGGUUUGUAGGUCUACUUGAAGAGGUCCUUCCCAUCCCUUUUAAGUUGGAUUCCUAGGUAUUCUCUUUGUAGCAAUUGUGAAUAAGAGUUCAUGCAUGAUUUGGCUCUCUGUUUGUCUAUUAUUGUGUAUAGGAAUUCUUGUGAUUUUUGAACAUUGAUUUUGUAUCCUGAGACUUUUUUGAAGUUGCAUAUCAGUUUAAGGAGAUUUUGGGCUGAGACGAUGGGGUUUUCUAAAUAUAAAAUCACGUCAGCUGCAAACAGAGACAACUUGAGUUCCUCUUCCUAUUUGAUUACGCUUUGUUUCUUUCUCUUGACUGAUUGCCCUGGCCAGGACUUUCAAUACUAUAUUGAAUAGGAGUGGUGAGAGAGGGUAUUCUUGUCUUGUGCAGAUUUUCAAAAGGAAUGCUUCAAGUUUUUGCCCAUUCAGUAUGAUAUUGGCUGUGCAUUAGUCACAAAUAGCUCUUAUUAUGUUGAGAUAAGUUCCAUCAAUACAUAAUUCAUUGAGAGCUUUUACCAUGAAGAGGUGUUGAAUUUUAUUGAAGGCUUUUUUUGCAUCUUGAGAUAAUCAUGUGGUUUUUGUCAUUUGUUCUGUUUAUGUGAUGGAUUACAUUUAUUGAUUUGCAUAUGUUGAACCAGCUUUGCAUCCCAGGGAUUAAGCUGACUAGAUCGUGGUGGAUAAGAUUUUUGAUGUGCUGCUGGAUUCGGUUUGCCAGUAUUUUAUUGAGGAUUUUCGCAUUGGUGUUCAUCAGGGAUACGGGUCAGAAAUUUUCCUUUUUUGUUAUGUCUUUGCCAAGUUUUGGUUUCAGGAUGAUGCUGGCCGCAUAAAAUGAGUUAGGAAGGAGUAUCUCUUUUUCUAUUGUUUGAAAUAGUUUCAGAAGGAAUGGUCCCAGCUCCUCUUUGUACGUUUGGUAGAAUUCAGCUGUGAAUCCUUCUGGUCCUGGACCUCUUUUGGUUGGUAGGCUAUUAAUUACAGCCUCAAUUUUAGAACUUGUUAUUGGCCUAUUCAGGGAUUCGACUUCUUACUGGUUUGGACUUGGGAGUGUGUAUGUGUCCAGGAAUUUAUCCAUUUCGUCUAGAUUUCCUAGUUAAUUUGCAAAGAGGUAUUUAUAAUGUUCUCUAAUGGUAUCUUUUAUUUCUAUGGGAUCAAUGGUUAUAUCCCCUUUAUCAUUUCCUAUUGCAUGCAUUUGAUUCUUCUCUUCUUCCUUAUUAGUCUGGCUAGCAGUUUAUUUAUUUCUUGAUCUUUUCAAAAAACCAGCUCCUGGAUUCAUUGAUUUUUUUGACGGGCUUUUGUGUCUCUAUCUCCUUCAGUCCUGCUCUGAUCUUAAUUAAUUCUUGUCUUCUGCUAGCUUUCGAAUUUGUUUGCUCUUGCUUCCCUAGUUUUUUUAAUUGUAAUGUUAUGGUGUCGAUUUUAGACCCUUUCUGCUUUCUCUUGUGGGCAUUUAGUGCUAUAAAUUUCCCUUUGCACACUACUUUAGCUGUGUCGUAUUUUACUUUUUAAGCCCUCAAUCUUUCUUUUUCAUCAUGAUAGUCUUGACUGUUUUAUGUUUAUGUAAACUGUAAAAUUGACUACACAGUUUUUACAAAUAUUUUACCAAAAUAUUUUAUUGAGAAUGUACAAACCAGUCAGUGAAUUAGGGGAGAAGUUGCACUGUAGUAAUAAAUAGCCACAAAACAAAACCCCGAAGGACAUCCAAACCAGAAUAAAACAAAACAUUUUAACAAAAACAAAAAGAACACACUGGCAACAAAUACGUGCAGUUUAUAUCACAAAGAUGCUCACAUCUCCACUCUAAAGAGAGCUUUUAGAAGUUGAUUUAAAAUAUGAGAAAAGGCAUUAUCCCACACUUCACAGAAAAAAUAAAUUUAAGCAGCUGUUAACACAUGAACAUAAUAUCAAGCUCAGAUAUAAUCAAAAUUAAAUAUUUGACAACAGAUUCUACAGUUUGAGAGAAAUAGAAAAGUGUUUUUUGUUUUCUCCAGGCCCACAAGUCUAGUUUCUUGGACUUCCUCACUAUAAUGGGGGUUGUCAUCAGAUCCCCAAAAUAUGGGAAACACAGAGCAGGUGGUGGCUGAAGGUGGGAUAUCCUGUGAAACCAUAUUUAAGUUCAGAGCCCUUGCUCCAUUGUAUUGUAAUCAGCUGGCUCAGGAAAGAAGACCUGGCUCUCCUGAGCUCUACACCUACUGCACUGGAUAUGUUAGGCAGCCUAAGAACCCCUGGGGCCCAAACCCAUCCCAUCCUAAUAUAUCAUCCAGUAUCGAGGACUCUGACACCAAAUUCUCCCAGAGCAUAUGCUUAUGCAGUUUUACAUUUAAUUUCUCAUUACAUUACAAUUGGGAAAGUGAGGCCCCAAAAGAGGCAGGGACUGAUCCAGAUCUCAGGAGGUGGGCAGGCUCCAGAGCAUUAGGGAGGGCUCCAGCUUCCUAGGCCUUGGCUCCAUCCCACCUAUCAGGUUUGCUUUGGAAGUUAGAGCCUGUAGCUUCACAUUCAGGGGCACAGAGAAUGAGCAGAUCCAGGGUUCUGUUCACAUGGGGACCUCUCCAUGUGAGUUUCAAGAUAACAGGACUGGGGUUUUGCAUCCAGCUCUGAGGGCACCUGGAAGUAAAAUGAGCUAUGCUCCACCUCAGCCUAAUGUAGACAAUGCCUACAGGAAAGCCUGUUUUCUUCCUCAUAAAUAGGAGUGCUUGAAGUGCGUGACCUCGAUGAUUUCACAUACUCAUAAGUGUCUGCCAGCCUGGGUUCUUGCUCUGAGACUGUGCAAAAAUGCAUCCACUCUCUUCCGGUCCUUCAAAUCAGAGGGAGGCAUGGCAGCUUCAGAGGCAUCUUGGGUAGAUGAAGAUGAGACGGAGCUAAAUAUGCCAGAGCAUUGGACUCUGAGGCUGAAGUCCACGGAAAAUCCCAGCUCCUGUUGGGCUCUUAAGGUCCUCAUUUGAAAGUGGUAGAAAAUAAUUUCACUGGAUAAGGGGAGGAUACCUCAUGAAUAAAUAGCACAACCUAAAAGGCAGAGGCAAACAGAAGGCAAAGGGGGAUUCCCAGGUCACUCAUUGUACUUGGGGCCUUCAGAUUCUGCUACUUUAUCCCCUAGGACCUUGAAGAACCAGUGUCUUGAGGACAGAAAAAUCAAGGUACCUGAUUUGUUCCAUAGUGCUCCUGCAUGGGGCUGUAGGGUUAGUGAUGGCCUGGAGGUGGUUACAGCCACCUCUGUUUCUGGUGCCCACUGAGCUUUGCUGGAGCAGCUGGAACAAGUAAGAGUCACACACCUCAUGUUAUCAAUGAUCUCCACAUUAUCAGGUGGUCAAAAGAGGAAGGGAUAUUAGAGAUCCCCCAUAUAAUCACUUAGCCAGUCUUUUUUCCCUUGUGCUCACCCUUUGCCAGCUAACCAGGUGGGUGCAACGUGGUACAGAAAAUUAUUACAUGAUGCCUGCACCCCCCAACUCAGGACCAAACAGUCUGAGGACAGCUGGACAAAAGCACUAAAGCAAGUAUAUGUGAAAGAAAAGAGCAAGGACUAUAAUAUAAAGUAGAAUGUUGAGAAGAAAAGCUGGAAAAUUAUUGCAUGGGAGGACCUAAGGCCUCACUGAGUUGACUUUUAAUCCAUGAUAAGGAUGACAACAGGGAGGUGUCUCUGCACAAGUAUGUGUCAGGAAGAAGCCACCCUUAGUGAAUAGGUUCAUAGGUGUGAGUUUGGCAGAGGUUAGAAAGGGACUAGUUUGGCUGCAGACAGCCUGAGGAAGAGAUAAGCAGAGGGCUGGAGAAUCCUAGGGCCUGGGAGAUGAGGUUAGAUAUCUGCUCCUUUCUGACAACUUUGCCCUAUAACUCAGCACUUUUCAACAACAUAUAAUAUCUCAUAAUGUGUGGACCAGAAUUUGGACACAGUUCAGCUGGCUACCUCUGCCUUCAGGUCUUUUAUGAGAUUGGGGCUGUGGUCUUAACUGAAGCAGGACUGGGAAAGCAUCAGCCUUUAAGCUGACUCAUGUGAAAAUUGGUAGGGUUUAGUGUGGCUGGAGAGCCUGACUUUCCUUCUUUCUACUGGUCUGAGCACCCCCUCAGCUCUCUGUUAUGUGAGUCACUACAUGGAGCAUCUCAUAGCAUUGAAGCUUGCUUCCUGUGUUUGAGGAAUACAAUAUAGGGACAGAAUUAGACAAAAAGGUUUACACAAAAAGACACAGAGAGAGAAAAAUCGAGGGCACAAACAGGAAAAACCCAGUAGGAGAAAAAUGAGAGCUUUAGAAUAUCUUGACAGGGUGCGGUGGCUCACAACUGUAAUCCCAGCACUUUGGGAUGCUGAGACAGGUGGAUCGUCUGAGGUCACGGGAUUGAAACCAGCCUGGACAACGUGGUGAAACCACGGUCUCUUCUAAAAAUACAAAAUGAGCCAGGUGUGGUGGCACAUGCCUGUAAUCCCAGCUACUUGGGAGACUGAUGCAGGAGAAUCAUUUGAACCUGGGAGGUGAAGGUUCCAGUAAGCCGAGAUCACACCACUGCACUCCUGCCUGGGAUACAAGAGCGAAACUGUGUCUCAAAAAAAAAAAAAAAGGAAAAAAAAUCUUGAGAGUUAAAAUAAUUUUUCUCCUAUAUUUGUGUUAAAAUUGUAACCCCCGGUGUAAUGCUGUAAGGAUGUAAGAUGUAAUUAACUCCCGUGGGUGGGACCCUCAUUAUAGAGAUUACCGGCUUUAUACAAGAAACCACAGAGGCCUCUCAUCCUCCUACUGCAAAAUGAGGAUAAAACUUGAGGUGUGCAGUCUGAAAUUCAGAAGCUAGUCAUCACCAGAGCUCAACCAUGCUGACAACCUGAUCUCAAAUUUCGAACCUCUAGAAGUAUGAGAAAUUAAGUACUGUUGUCUGUAAGCUGCCUAUCUAUGGUUCUUUGGCAUAGCAGCCUGAAGUAAUAGAAAAGUGAUAUCCUUCUCUGUAUUUCAUUGGACAGAAGCUGAAUUUGUACCACUACACUGUUAAAAAAAAGACUUAAAAUGGAUUUUCAUAAUGAAAGAUAGGAAACGGCUUGUUGAAACACUAAAAUUUUAUCGGCUUAUAAGAUUUUUGAACAUUGGCUGAAAUUGUUGGAACCAAUAUGGCUAAAUGAAGUCCAUGAAGAACCACUUUGCAGAUGUUAGAGCCCAAAUUUCCAUUGUGUGUUUCAUACUAACUCUCCCUGAAUUUGCAUGUCACCUGAGAGGAAGCAAGAAGAGAUGACUGUGUAUGUCUCAUGACUUUCCAUAUUCCUACUUUCCUUCCAGCAAUCCCUUAUAGAACCCACCUCUUAGGCCUUUUCUAAUCACUGUCUUGAAGCCAGUAUAAGAAAACAAAUUUCAGCUGGACUGCUAUCUCCUUGUUGGCCAACCUACAACAUGAUAUUUUCCUCAAAACCCAAGGGCCAUACUACUGGCAUCAGGCAGUAGGCCAUUUUAUUCAAUAAAAAACGGAGUCACUCACCACCUAGUACUGGGAGGCUUUGUGAAGACUUCCCCUGUCACAGGUGUGAUAAGGCACAUGGAUAUGAUUCUAAAUAUACAGAGAAAGCACUAGAAAGUUGAAUGGCUGUAUUAUGUCAUUGUCAUACUGCAAUGAUGAAGUACCUGAGACUGGGUAAUUGAUAAAGAAAAGAAGUUUAAUUGACUCACAGUUCCACAUAAUUGGGGGCGCACCUCAGAAACCUUCCAAUUACAGUGGCUGACAAGUGAAGUGAGUGAGGGCAUGGGAUGUACCAGAUGGUUAUGAAACGAUCAGAUCUCAUGAGAACUCACUAUCGCAAGAACAGCAUGAGGAGAACCCGUCCCCAUAAUCCAAUCCUCUCCCCUCAGGUUUCUCCCUAAACACCUGGGGGUUAUAAUACACAGAGGGGUUUGGGUGGGACACACAGCUAAACUAUAUGAAUGCCAGAGGACAAUAUCUACAUUUAAUUUCAACUCCAUACUGGAGCAGAAUGAAAAUGAGGCCCAGUGGAGAAGUGACAUUCCCAAGAUCACCCUGCCAGACCCAGGACUGUUUGAGUUGUGGCCCAUGCUACCUCCCAGCUUUUCUCCUAAUGCUUCCAUCUCUAAGUGUGUGCAUUAUCUACAGGUAACACCACAUCAUGAUUUUUAUGUUUUAUCUUAUAUACACUUAAUACGAUCCCUAGGAAGUAGAUGUUAGCAUCAUCCCCACUGUGCAUGCUAGGAGGCUGGGGAAGCCUCGAAUACACAGUGACUUUUAUUGGGUCCCAGAGCUGGUAAGAAAAACAAGUUUAUGUUCCAGCUGUCUCUUAUAUCCUGGAACCUAGGCUGCAUUUAGUUCUUUCCAGGGAAUUAAGGGGAAGUUGUGUUUGCAUAAUUGUGUACAAAUGAAGAGUUGACAUUGAAGAGGAGACUGAGCAGUUAGUAGCAUAGUGGGACCUUUGGGUAGGUCUUACAGAAAGAAGGGGCCCAGUAGAUGGAACCUUGAAGAGUUUAACACACUUUCUUGGUGACAAAAUCCAACAGCAGUUAAGAAACCAGGAAGCCACAUCGUUGAGACAGCUCUGUAUCCACCUCUGUUAGUGAGAGAUGCUCAAGAGAGUGAGAUGUUCUUUCAUUGUGCCCUGAAAUUUCUGAGUUUCAGCCUUACAAAGGCUCAAUGUAAAAGUCUUAUCUGAAAACACGGAUGUCAACUCAGCCCUCAUCACUGAUGUCCCUGGCUAUUGGUCGAGUGCACCUACAAAUAACACAGGGCAGCCCAGGACAGGCCCUUCCACGUGAGUCCUCUCUUGUCAACUCAUCUGGGCAGUCCCACACCACUUCUUAGUACCAUGAGUUGUAUGGGGAGCAAGAGGGAGGGCACUCUUCUUGGACUGAAGCAGAUUGUCAGGUGUUGGAACUCUUGUGUACCUGUCAUGUUCAUACCUAGGCCAAAGCUGUCAGAAUAAAAAGAAGAGGGUUGAAGACCGAGUCUGUGUACUCAGAUGUGAAUUCCAAGACUUUAACUUGUCCUCUGGUUUCCUUCCUUGCUGGAGAUUUAUACAGAUUCUCCUUAUGUGCCUAAUCUGAAGAGCAGAAUUUCUUUUCUUUUCUUUUCUUUUCUUUUCUUUUCUUUUCUUUCUUUUCUUUUCUUUUCUUCUUUCUUUCUUUCUCUUUUUUUUUUGAGGAAGUCUCUCUCUGUCACCCAGGCUGGAGUGCAGAGAAAAGCAGAAUUUGUAGUGGAGGUGUCACAUAUGGUGAAAACAAGGCAGACCACUGAUUUUUCUUUGCGUGGUUUCUAGGCACGUUUUUCAGAGCUGCGUUCAGAUUGAUGAGGAGCUGUUUGAUGUGGCCAACUCCACCCUCUUUUUGGAAAAAGAGCAGGUGCACUAAACCAGCAACCACAGCCAGCACCGGGCUGUGGUAAGAGCAGCCACAUAGGGGUCUCUACAGACAGAAACCCGAGAAGACCGGGACAGACCCAGUACCCAGACUCAUAUAGGAAAACUCUCUGGGCUGUGUCCUAUGGCCUUCCCAUGAGUAACUGAUAGUCUUGAUCCAGUGGAAUCUGGCCUACAUUAGUGUCAGUUGCAAGUUGGUUAUGUGGAAAGUCUCUGUUCACUCAACUUGUGUGAAUAACAGUAAAGGCCUUUCUAUUGUUUUCACUUUGCAUUAGGCCAUGAGUAUUUGUGCCUGUGGCUGCAGUUUGUAUUAGUUUCUUGCCCCAGGUAUCUGCUGCAGCAUGCAGCUUCAGUCCUACCAGACCCUCAAAACUUAAAAGCUAACACUAUUACUAGGGAGGAUUUCACAGGAAAAUGGAGAAAGGGUUACACACAAAAAAGGUUAAACUUUUCUAUGCAUGUUUCUGCAAUGUGUUAUCUCAAGAACUCAUCUCUGUAGUGCAUCAGGGUAGGGGCUGGGCUCUCACCUUUUGAUAAUAUUCCAUAAGGGAGGUUCUUCCCCACAGUGUUUAGUCUUCCGACGCUGGUACAGCCUGACAUGAUGACAUUCUACUUUCAUGUCGGUCAUGCUGCAGGGAAUAUUCUGUGAGUGUCUUAAGAGGCUGGACUCACUUGCUAGGGUGAACCUCAUCUUUGGUGCUCACUUUUCUGUUAUCUCAUAAUUAGCUUUAUUCUAAGCAAAUCUAUGUCUAUUUUAUUUAUCUGUUUACUUAUUUUUAUGUAUGGAAAAACGCAUUUUUAAAUUUACUUAUUUAUUUAGAGACAGGGUGUCCCUUUGUCACCCAAGCUGGAGUACAGUGGUAGAGUGUUGUGAUCAUGGCUCAUUGCAGCCUCAAACUCUUGGGUUCAAAUGAUUGUCUCACCUCAGCUUCCUGUGCUACCACGCCCUGCUAGUUGAUUUUAAUUUUUUAUAAAGAAAGAGUCUCAUUAUGCUGCCCAGGCUGGUCUCAAACUCCUGGGCCCAAGCAGUUCUCUCAUCUCAGCCUCCCAAAACACUGGGAUUAAAAACAUGAGCCACUGUACUGAGCUGUGCCUACUUCAAAAGACUGAAAAUAAAAAAUCGAUAAAUCUUUGCCAAAUUAAAAAUAAAGCAAUAGUUUCCAGGUCUUAGAUAAAGACAAUUCUUUGUCAUGAAGAAUGACAAAAGGCUUAUUUAGCUGUUAAAAUGAUUUGCUUAUAUUUCAAAGAAGCAGAGAAAAAAAGGUACAUAUACAAGUUUUCCAGGCCAGGCAUGGUAGUUCCUGCCUGUAAUCCGAACAUUUGGGGAGGGCAAGGCAGGAGGUUCCCUUGAAGCCAAAUAUUUGAGUCCAGUGCAGGCAACAUGGUGAAAUUCUGUCACUACAAAAAAAUAAAAUAAAAUAAAAUAAAUAUGGCUGGGCAUGAUGGCCUACACCUGUAAUCCCAGCACUUUGGGAGUUGGAGGCAGGUGGAUAAUGAGGUCAGGGGUUUGAAACCAGCCUGGCCAAAAUGGUGAAACCCAUUCUCUACUAAAAAUAAUAAUAAUAAAAUAUUAACCAGGCAUGGUGGUGUGCGCCUGUAAUCCCAGCUACUCAAAAGAUUGAGGAAGGAGAAUUGCUUAAACCUGGGAGGUGGAGGUUGCAUUGAGACAAGAUCAUGCCACUACACUCCAGCCUGGUCCACAGAGCAAGACACCGUCUUGAAAAAAAAAUAAAAACAAAAAUAAAUAAAGCUAGCCAGGCAUGGUGGUUCAUGCCUAUAUUCCUAGGUAAUUAAGAGGUUGAGGCAGGAGGACUGCUGAAACCCAAGAGGUUAAGGUUACAGUGAGCUAUGAUUAUGCCAUUGCACUUCAGGGUAAGUAAAAGAGUAAGAUUCUGUCUCAAAAAAUUAAUAAUGAAAUUUUUCUAAAUUACAUUGUUUAAGAAAAGGGAAAAAAAUCUUUUUUUAUUUUCAAAUGGGAGAAUAGAGCCUCUCAUUUCUAAUUUGUAUUUCCUUCUGCAAAAACUUGGUCUAGGCCCAUGGUCUUGAACUACUGGACAUCUGGAUUUUAGUAGGUGCUGGAUUCAGGCAACUGAGGGGUGGCCUUGGGCACACUGUGUGCACAUAAAAGAAAGAGUUUGAGGUGUACUAAAAGGUAAAAGAGGGGAAGGUGCUAUUAAGAACCCACAAUUGGGAGACAGUACAGGGUUGGUGGAAGGACUGGUUCAUGCUAUGGAUACUGACCCAGGUGAAACUUUCCUCUGAGUUAUUUCUAUGUCCAUGCAGGAAGACGAGAUUAUGAUCAGGUGGCACAGAAACCUGGGAUGGUGAAAAAAACAGGUUGCCACUGCAGAUUCGGUGUCUAAGAUAGAACAUAUGCCAGGGAUCUUGUAGGCAUGUGUGUGGGUUUUUGGUGGGAAAGUCUAUGAGGAAAAGUAGCAUGGGCAAAAAUCUUGAUGCCAGAGACCUGUGCUGGGAGGGGCUUGAUCACAUCAACACGCAGUGCGUAUGUUCAGUGGGUGAAAGAUAUGUGGUGGCCUCAGGUUGGCAGGAGGGUAGAAGGCAUCUGUUCUCAGAACUUCUUCCCUCAGAGUCCUCGGUCCUUCUCACCGUGGGAGGAUGCGUGGAACCACAGGGCAGUGCAUGGUGUAGCAGCCUGUGUGCAGAGCAGAGCCUACCUUCCCCAAGAUACCUGGAGUCUCUCUCCAGCAGAGGCUCCACAUUGUCUUUCUUCUUACAACAAUUUUGAUCCUAAAUGUGUAAAGUUCCCUGAAAACCCACUGAUUCUCCAACAUCCAUUUGUUGCCCAAAAAUUUAAUUCUGACACCACUUAGAGUUUGCACAGAUCCCACAAAUUCAGGGCUCAGUCCCACAUCACCGCUCUCACUGCAGAGGAGAGUCACAUAUCCCAGAAGCCCAUCUAUACUUCUGAGCUACCUCCUAUAAAUCUGAGACUCCCAUAAACCCCUUUUCAAGUUAAAUAAUUUGAUAGAAUUACUCAAAAAAAACUCAACAAAUAAGCCUAAUUAUAUUUACUACUUUAUUAUAAAAAUAUAACUCAGAAACUGCCAAAUGGAAGAGAUGUCUAGGACAAGGAACAGUUGUGGGUGAAGGUAAUCCUUGAAAUAGCUAUAUUUAAAGAAAUUCCCCCAUUCUUUGUGUUCUCAAAGAACAGCUUAGUGAAGAGAACGUGCUUCCCAUUAUGACUUUGUGGAUGUUCUCCCCCUUUUUUUUAACCUAUCACAAAGAUGGACACAGAUUGCAAAUUCCCAUUUUUAAAAAUGAACAACCAUUCUGUAAUUUAGUCUUCAGUGGUCAAAACAGAGUACUUGUUAACAAAACUUUGCUUGUUCCUCUUCUUCCCUCAGCCCCUGAACUUUGACUCACCCACAGCCUCAGAGAACCUACAACCCAUACUUAUACACAUCCCUCCUAAGAACAGGCUGACUUCAAGGUGAAACAUUAUCUUAUCUGGGAUCUGAUUUUGCUACCCUCCAUCCUGUGCUUCCCUUCCAACCUUCUUUGUAAACUUGUUUUCUCCUUCCUAGGAAAUAAAGCCCUUUUCCGCCUAACCUUUGAGAUCCCCAAAGAUCUAAUCAUUUGUACUUUUUCUUUGUUGCAACACUUCUUAAGUAACUUCUUAGACAAAGCCUAGAAACAGUCUCAGGACAAUAACAAUUCUAUUCAAGAAAGAAUCUCCCAACAUUUCUUCUAUCUCAAUCUCAACUGCAUCUGCCUGUGAACUUCCAACUUACCAAAGCUCUGUAUCUUCUGACAGUGACAAAGGCUUCUUCCAUGGUUGGUGUCAGCAGGCUUCGAUACCUGCAGGACAGACACUCAGGAAUAAUCAACUGGGCCAUCAGUGGCCCCCUUUUGCAGGGUCACCGUUAGCCUUAGCUUUUAGUCAAUGGUCUAAGACUUCUACUUCCCAAUUAUUCAUUCAGUUAGUUUUCAAUUUAAAAAAUACUUCAUGUUUGAAGAAUCCAGCAAAAAUUAUUCAAAUCUAAGGUUUAAAAGAGAGGAAAUUAUGGCCAGGCAUGGUGGCUAAUGACUGUAAUCCCUGCAUUUUGGGAGGCCGAGGUGGGCAGAUUACCUGAGGUCAGGAGUUCGAGACCAGCCUGAUCAACAUGAAGAAACACCCUCUCUACUAAAAAUACAAACUUAACCGGGGGUGGUGGUGUAUUCCUGUAAUCCCAGCUACUUGGGAGGCUGAGGCAGGAGAAUUGCUUGAACCUGGGAGGUGGAGGUUGCAGUGAGUCAAUAUCGUGCCAUUGCACUCCAGACUGGGCAACAAGAGUGAAACUAAGUCUAAAAAAUAAAAUAAAAAUAAAAAAAGAAAAUUAUAAGGGGCUUACAUUUUAUAACUCAACAAGAAAAGCCAAAGUAUCUACCCCUUUCAGAAAAUAAACAUGUAAUUUAAUUAUGUUCAAAACAAAUCAUUUAGUAAACAAUUAAUCAUAUGUGAACACUUCCAGGAGGUGCCAAGUCCCAGCUCCUAAAACUUAGCAUUACCCUCAAACACCCAGAUAGCAGCAUAUGGAACAGAGAUAUUCACUUUCACAAAUUCUCUGUUUUGAAAAAAAGAACAACUGAUGUAAUAAAUGUAUGUAAUUUGACAAUUAAUCUACCUCAUGUGCUUGUAGAUAUGUAUUCAUUUCCUACCAUAGUAGUGGAAGAGAGACUAUCACUGUCUUUAACAUUUCCAACAGUAAGCCAUGAGAUUCUGCUUGAAAUCACCUCUCAAACAAAUAAAAAACAGAACUGGGAAAGAUACUAUGCUCAUUCUGUUAAAGAAAUAGGCAAGUAACAAUUUUUAACAAGUGAAAUAUAUUACUACUUAAUUUUAUUCAAAAUUCACCAACUUAAUGUGCUUUAUAAAUAUUUUCAUACCUUUCAAGCUCUACUGAUAAAAACAUAAUUUACAUUUAAUUAAAAAGUGAAUUUAAACUAAGUACAAAAAUAUUUUCAAGGUGACAAACUUAGGAGGUGACAAUGCCAAUUGAAACACAGACAUAUCAGACCCAAGUGUCAAGUCAAGCCAUUCUAUAACUUGGGAUAUUUUCCCCACUCACAUCUGGUUCAGUGAAGUGGGUGAUGAGCGUCCUACCAGGAGCCGCUACGCUGUGCUCCACUGUGUCUGUGAGGUGCAUUUUACUUUGCAGGUUUUUGCACUGCCUCACCGGGUUGGGUUUCUUUGUGCUUUGAAAUAUUUUCUCUCCCUUCACCAUUCUGAGGACAUUUUUUCCUCAAUAUCAGCAUCCAUUUGCCUGGCCUGCAAUGUGUCUCUAAGGAAUGGAAACUAAUCUUUGGGGUAAGAAAAUCUUAAUGUCCUAAGGGGUUUGCUUUUAGUGCAAGGGUAUACCUGGAGAUUCCUUCCAGGCACAGCUCAUCCAACCACUCCACAGAGAGGCUGCAUUCCCAUACCUUGGGCUGUUCCCUGAGAGGAGGUGACACAAGGGAUGCUAUUUACUAGACACCUCAAGAGUCAUGGCCACUGUUGGCAUCUUUGGGAAUUCUCAAGCAGUUUUGAAACUCAAAACCAAGAAAAUAACAGGAUGGCUGAGGAUGUAUUGCCCUGUGAAGUUUCCAAAACGAAACCUCAACCCAAAGACAUUCUGAUGGGGUGUCUGUGCCAAGGGAAGAUUAAAGAAAGGGGCACAAAGGUUUUCUGCGUUUUAUUUUUUUUUUACAGUGGGGUGUCAGGGGAUUAUUCUCUGCUUUCAUCUCCUGUAAAAUGUUUACAAAUGAAAAUUUUUUAAAUGACGUCCACUGCUUUUUGACAAAAUGAAGAAUUAAAAUACUGUGUCUGAAAUGUACAGUAAAGAACAGUUGAUAAUGUUGUGGAUUAUCGAAGGUUAGUUAUUGUUGGUAAGUGUCAGGAAAGAACUGGAAAUUUAAAAUCCGAUUGCAAGCCAGAGUUAGGCUGGGGCAACAGGGAGGUAGAUUUGAGUCUCUGCCUGCCACACGUUUGGAAAAUGCAUCAGAAAACUAGUUCUCUUUUGGAGUGUUAAAAUAACUAAAAAACAGGUGAUUAUGUUGAGGUGGCUCUAGUGUCCUGAGCUCUGAGUGGAGAGACAGGCCAAGGCCCCCCCAGUUCCAAAAAGCUGCCCAUUCUUCUCCAGCUGUGCACCUGAUUAUAUAGUUUCCACUCCGGCACCCAUGAUUGGAUAUAGUUCAAAUCCCUACCCUGCCCCCUCAGGCCAUGAGUGACAUAUGUGAUUUGACACUGGGUUGAAUAAAGCAAGAAUUACAGGUUUUCCCUGGAUCCUUUUCUGGCAGGGCUUCCUCCGCGAACUAGAAACUGGCCCUGCCUGUAAAAUAUUUGCAUUUACAUUUGUAUGUAAGAUUAUUUGUAUUAAUGAAUAAUAUAUAUGUGUUAUUCAUACAUGGAAACAAUAUAAUGAGAAUUAUUUUAAAAUUUCAGAUGCUUUACUUUCCUGGUACAUCUAGGCUUUAGAGCAGGCAGCCUGAGAUUUAAAAGGGAGGCAAUUCUCUAAGAAAUAAUAUGUGAGGCACAUGCAAAUUUUAAAUAUUCUAGUAGCUACAUUUUAAUAAAUACACCGGGCGUGCUUGCCUGUGCCUGUAGGUCGAACUAUUAGGGAGACUGAGGUGGGAGGAUCACUUGAGACCAGGAGUUUGAGAUCAGCCCUGGCAACAUAGAGAAAGCCAUUUCUACAAAAAAAAAAUAUAUAUAUUGAAAAAUUAGCCAGGCCUGGUGGAGCGUGACUUCAGUCCCAGCUACUCAGAAGGCUGAAGCUGGAGGAUCACCUGAGCCUGGGAGGUCAAGGCUGCAAUGAACCAUGAUCACACAACUGCACUCCAGCCUGGCUGACAGAACAAAACCCUGACUCAAAAAACUGAUCUCUGGAAAGGCAUUUUCUUUUUCUGCAAUGUAGCCAAGCAGCUAAGUAAGUAUUGAAGCCAUCCUUUAAUUUUUAACAGGGCAAGAAAGCUUUCUAAGACCCCGAACUCCAGAUAUGCGAUGGGGCAAAUCCUGAAGUGUACAUGGCUAUCUCUCACAGCUAAAGCAUCCCUCACCCCUAUCCAGCGCUUCUUACCCCUGGCGCAAGAGAAUCACCUGCGGGGAGGAAAACUUUCAAAAUCCCUUAAACUGAAGUUGUAACCGCUCAAUUAAAUCAGAAUCCUUGGAGCUGGAUCUGAAAAAAAAUAUGGUUGAAAGUUGUGCAGGUGAUUACAAUGUGUAGGCAAGCCACAAAACCAUGGCUUUAACCAGGAGCUUUUGUUAGAAAUGAUUUCUCAAAUGAAUGUAAAAACGUUUGCUGCUGAAUUGUGACCUUUCAAUUUUACCUGCUUUUCUUGCAAAGUAUAUUUUGCAGACCCAGGCAGUGCUGCUCCCUCUGUUCCUGAUUCACCCAGUACUGUGUGUGCUCAGUGCAUCCUGUGCACGGAUCAUUGUGUGCCCUGGCCUGGGUGAGCAUCAUUCUUCGGGGAGAACCUUUCUGAAAACAAAGCUGCAUUCCAAAAAGUUAAAACCAUGCUACUUACAGUGUUGAAGUAAAAAUUAAAAGACCCAGGGGGGCUCACCCAAAAGUUAAAACAUAAAUAAAUAACUUGGAACAUUAACAUACACCUGAUGAUGUCCUGAGUGAACACGCCCCACUUUAAAACAAAACAAAACAUUGCUAUUAUUCUAAAAUAUUAAUUUAAGAUUGUUAUGCAAAUAUGUACUCUUUAAAUUUUUAUUGAUGUAUAACAUGCAUACAGCAAUAUAGGCACAAAACAUUUAGGGAAUGCUUGAUGAAUUAUUACUAAAUAAGUGCACUUGUGUAUAUAAGAAUCAGAUUUGUUCAUGCCCUUGACACUUUCUCCUUCCCAAAGGUAACCAAGAUCUUAAGAUCUAAGUGCAGAUAAACUUUGUCAUUUUCUACAAGUGUUUUAUUACAGAUCAUUAAAAAAGUAUACACAAUACAAAAAAAGUAUAACAGACCAGUCACCCAGCUUUAACAGCUACUAGUCAUUGUCAUUUUUGUUUUAUCUAUACUUCCAGCCAUGCCCCCACCCCCAAUUUCAUUAUUGUUUUUAGGCUUUUUGGAUAAAGCGUAUAUUCAUUGCAAGGUACAAUGCCAACUGUAAAUAGUAGAGAGAUGGGGUUUUGCCAUGUUGGCCAGGCUGGUCUUGAACUCCUGACCUCAGGUGAUCCACUCUCUUCAGCCUCACAAAGUGCUGGGAUUACAGGCAUGAGCCAAUAUACUCGGCCUGAGAAUUCAUAUUUCUAACAAAGUACAAAUCCAUAGGGCACAUGACAACUGCAAUGUCUAUCCACAGUAAAUACGGUUUGAUGAAUAAAUUGAAAGGCAAUUGACUUAAGGUGGGAAAAAAAAACAAUCAAAGCAUGGGUACUAUGUGCCAUCUGUAGGAGCAUUUUGUUAAGAAUAACAAACAAACCAAUUUUAUUGUUUUAAUAACCGAAAUUGGCAAAAUUUCUAGUUUUUCUUUCAUAGGAAUGCUCUUAGCAAGAAAAAAUUUUCAUAUGGUGAGAGCAAAAAUGACAACCAUUUGCAAGUAAAUGUCUUAUGAAAUUAAGUAGCAGAUAUCAAGCUCAUGACCUUCAGAUAGUUACCCCUAACUCAAUCAUUUACAUAGCAAGUGCAGAUAAUUUUCAUAGCUCCCUAUUACAAUUAUAUUUUACUCCCCUUACAAAUUGUGACUGUUUUUAAAUAAAGUUCACUAACUAAAAUUUUGUAUAUGACAUAUGAUAAAUUCCCCUUCAAGUAACCUUAUAUUUACUUAAUUGUGUUAGCCAGUGUCUCUCUACCACCCGAUAAUACUUUGGGAUUCUCCCUCCAUUUGCACAGGCAUCAUAGCUGGGAAACAGGGAUUCAAAAGACCCAGGCUGUUCCCUACAUAUGUUUCCUCCUCCGACAUCAGUUCAUCAGUCAACCAAGUCAAGUGAGAGUGGAGGCCAUGUAUUCCCUCUUAUUCUUGGGCACUCUCCUCCAAGGAGGAAAAGGCCAGGAGGUCCUGUUAGAGGAUGCACUCUGAGAGCCCGGGCUCCCUAAGGUGUGAGAGUUCUAAACAGCAGGUGUAGACUUUCAGGAGUGAGGAAUGAGGCAGGCAUUCCAAACCUGAAGCUUCAUCACCUUUUGUUUCAUCUCAAGACAAUUCUGAAGGGCUGUUUUGGAGCGUGUCUGGAAGGUGAACGUUGAAGAAGAGUGUGGGCUUUGAUGUGACUCAGAUGACAUCUUUCAUGGGGAGGCAGGAAUUCAAUGCCCAGAAUCUGGGCUGGUGUCUUUGAGGUCAGUAGGUUGCGUCUUUGUAUCCAAGUCCGUUGUUACUAGGUUGGAGGCUGGAGAUUCUAAAUGGCUUCCAGACCGCCUCUCUGAUUCUCUUUGGGAGAUGGGGUCUGAAAAAGACAAUGUCAGUAUUUUGGGGAAAUUCUAGAAAGUCUGCUUGGAAACCUCGGAUGACCUCUUGCCUAGUGCCUAAAUGCUCAAUGUGCAGCUCUAGCCACGUAGAUGCUUGGUAGAUAUAGAGCUGGGUUUCCAUUUAUAUCAGCAAAACCUAUGUCAGAGUUGAAGAAGUAGUCAAGAAAAAGUGUCUGGGUUGCAGGCCGGGGAACAUCUUAAAAGCAAACUUCUAGCCUGCUGACUCUUGGCAAUGAGUGUUGGGUCCUGGCCAAAGUGCCUUGAAAGCAGCAUGAGUCCAAUCCAUGGAUCCAACUUCUAAUGGAGAAAUGUUAAUAUGUUUUCAGUUUGAAUCAAUCAGGGUGAAAUUACCUUGCUAUUGGUUUGCUUACUUUUUAUUGUUUCAUAUAAAAUCUAUGACUAAAUACAUUAAAUACUUAUUGAUAUAUGUAUUUAUUCUUCAUCUGGCUCAUAACAUUUGCCUAAUUUUAAAAUUUCUUCUAUUUUGUAGGUUUCAACUUAUUUUAUUGUAAGAUAUUGUUAAAUCUAAUACAGGCAUUGUCACUUUUACAAAUAAUUUUAUUUUAUUUCAUAUAUUUCCUAUUCACUUUUUACAUUUAAAUUAUAGACCAUUUCAUCAUAUAAAAAACUCUAUUUCUAUUUUAAAAAUAAGUCUUUGGGUUUUUUGGUCUUGUAAUUUCCAUAUUACAUAGUAAUGAGAUAAACGUUAAUGUUUUCAGGGUAUUUUAAAUUUUAAAUAAUUACUCAUUGUAUCCACGUGAAAUUUGUUUUUACUGCAUGCAUGAGUUGGAGAACCGUUUUCACUUCUGACUCAUCUUUACUGUGAUCUCCUCAGAACUCAUACCUCUUGUAGUUGGGAGAUUGCAGUAUAUAAUUCCAAUAAAUGGGGCAAAUUCAAUAAUAACAUAAUACAAAUGAGUUUGAAAGCAGUACAUGUCUUCAAAGCAUACACAACAUGGGCCUACAUAUGUACAACAAUAAUAAUUUAUAAGUUACAGUUUGGAUGGAAAGUAAAAGUACAGAAAAUUUGUUAAAAUAAAUUAAAAUGGAGAUCACUUAUCAAUAAUCUCUGAGCAGACAAAAUUUGUCUCGAACUCCCGACGUCAGGUGAUCCGCCCGCCUCCCAAAGUGCUGGGACCACAAGUGUGAGCCACCACCUAGAUAAAUUGGGCAGAUUCCUAGGUAUACAAGACUUGAUUACAAAGAAAUACAAAAUCUGAAUAGAUACAAAACUACUAAGGAAAUGGAAUCAGUAACUAAAAACCUCUUCAUGAAGAAAAGCCCUUGUCUUGUUGGCUUCACUAGUGAUUUAGAUCAAGCAUAUAUAGAACAAAAAUCCUUUCCAAAGUCUACCAAAAGCCUGAAGAGAGCAGUUCCAAACUUAUUCCAUGAUGCCAGCAUUAGCUCAUACCAAAGCCAGACAAAGAGACUACAAAAACCCAUAGACUAAUAUCCCUUAUGAACACGGAUGCAAAACUACUCAGCAACAUCCUAGCUAACCACAUUCAGCAGCAUACUAGGGAGAUUACACCACAUGACCAAGGGGAAUUUAUUACUGGAAUGUAAGGAAGAUUUAGCGUAUGGAUGGUUUCAGUGCAAUGGUGUUUACAACUAAUUGAUCACAACCAGCAUAGAUUUCUUUAUCCUUUUUCCAGUCUCACUGGUUCACUUAGCUAGCCUUUCUUAACAAAAGUUUUAGCAUAUGAAAAAUAAUCAAUGCAUAUGACACAUUAACAAAAUUUUUAGAAUACAUUAUCUAAUACAGAAAAUGUAUUUUACAAAAUUCAAAAUAUUUUAUAAUAAAAACACAAUAAAUUACGAAUAAAAGAAAACCAUCUUUGUAAAAUUCACGUAUAAAAAACCCACAGCAAACUAUAUGUUCUAGAGGAAAAGACCAAAAUUAUUUCGUCUAAGCUCAGAAGACAGAAUGUCUGCUCUUGCCAGCCACUUUUAUUCAACACUGUAUUAGAAGUUUCAUUCAGAGAAAUUAAAAAAGACAAUGAAAUAAACUGCAUCAAAGUGUGUACAGAAAAUAUAUUCUUUUAUGUAGAAAAUCUUAAAGAUUCCACACAAAAAAUAUUAAAAUUAAUAAAUUCAGCAGAGUAGUAGCAUACAAAAUCAACAUAGAAAAAUAAACCGUAUUUUAUGUACUAAUACGAAUAAUCUGAGAAGAAAACUAUGAAAACAACUCAAUUUACAAUAGCAUCAAAAGAAUAAAAUACUUAGGAAGUAACCAAGAAGCAAAAUGCCAAUUAUUUUGUGUAGAUAUUAAAAAAUCAAUUUUUAAGUUUAUGAGGAAUCUCAAGGGACCCUAAAUUGCAAAAAUAAUUUUGAAAAAAAAAUACCAAAGUUAGAGAAGUCGCACUUAAUGAUUUCAAAACUUACUACAAAAUUCCAAAAUAGCACGCUACAAAUAGACUAAUGGAGUAAUAGAGAAAGCCAAUAUAAAUAAACCCUCAUAUAUAUGGUCAAAUGAUUUUUAUGGGAAAUGAACUGCCUUUACAACAGUUAGUGCUGGGGAAAUUGGGUACCUACAAGUAAAAGAGUGAAGCUGUUCCCUUAACUUAUACCAUAAGAAAAAAUUAACUAACUGGACAAAAACCUAAAUGUAAGAGCUAAAACUACAAAAUUCUUAGUAUAAAAUGUAGGUAAAACGUCAUAACGCUGGAUUUGGCAGUGAUUUUUUUUAACAGGACACAAAAAAUGCAAGAAACAAAAGAAAAAUAAAGAGGACUCUAUCCAGAAUAUACAAAGUACAAUUCAGCAAUAAUAAAACAAACUGCUUGUUUAAAAUAUGGGCAAAAUACUUAAACAGACAUUUCUUUAAAAAUUAUGUGAAAUGGCUAAUAAGUCCAUGAAAAGGUGCUCAACAAAACUAAUCAUUAGUAAAAUGCAAAUAUAACUCCAAAUGACAUAUCACUUAAUACACAUCAGCAUAGUUACUACCAAAAGAAACAAAACAAAACAGAAAAUCACAAGUGUUGGUGAGGACGUGGAGCAAUUAGAACCCUUGUACACUGUUGUUGGAAAUGUAAAAUGCUGCAGCUGCUAUAAAAUAACAGUAUAAUAACUAAAAAAUGUACACCUAAAGUCACCAUAUGAUCCCACAAUUUCACAUCUGGGUAUGUAGCAAAAGAUGUGAAAGCAAAGACACAAAAUAAUACAUGUACACCUAGGCUCAUAGCAGCAUUACUCACAUCACCCAAAAGGUUUUUGAAUUACCCGUGUUGUUUGAAUUAUCAUCAAUGAAUAAAUAGAUAAAAUGUAAUUUAUACAUACACUGGAACGUUAUUCAGUUAUGUAAAAUAAGAAAAUUCUGACACAUGGUACGUUAUGCAAGAACCUUAAGGACAUUGUGCAAAGUGACAUGAGCCAGUCAUAAAAGGACAAAUACUGUAUCAUUCCACUUAUGAGAUACUUAGAGUAGUUAAAUUCUAGAAAUCCAA